UGAGGAAUAUUGGUCAAUGGGCGCAAGCCUGAACCAGCCAUGCCGCGUGCAGGAUGACGGUCCUAUGGAUUGUAAACUGCUUUUGUACAGGAAGAAACACUGGUUCGUGAACCAGCUUGACGGUACUGUAAGAAUAAGGAUCGGCUAACUCCGUGCCAGCAGCCGCGGUAAUACGGAGGAUCCAAGCGUUAUCCGGAAUCAUUGGGUUUAAAGGGUCCGUAGGCGGUCAGAUAAGUCAGUGGUGAAAGCCCAUCGCUCAACGGUGGAACGGCCAUUGAUACUGUCUGACUUGAAUUAUUAGGAAGUAACUAGAAUAUGUAGUGUAGCGGUGAAAUGCUUAGAGAUUACAUGGAAUACCAAUUGCGAAGGCAGGUUACUACUAAUGGAUUGACGCUGAUGGACGAAAGCGUGGGUAGCGAACAGGAUUAGAUACCUGGUAGUCCACGCCGUAAACGAU
rnacentral:rRNA from 1 species